GAAAAGAAAAGAAAAAGGAAUUGCUCAGAGGCUGUACCAGAACCUGUGCCCGGGUAUGAACCCUGGUCUGCAUCAUCAUUCUACACACAGGCAAUUACUCUGGACUCUACCAUCCAUUACAAACCAUAGGUCAUCCCACAGUACCUGGCCAUCGUGGGAGGGAAGGCAGAAAAGGGUUUUGCUGGGACUGAGUGAGUGGAAAGUGGGUGGGUGAGUUUUUGUGAGUUGUCACCAUCUCCAGUUGUCUGAACUGUAGGGACACAGCAGGAUAAUAGCCACGGGGGGAAAGCCGUUCAUGGAGAGCAUGCCAGAGGGAGUUUUGUCAUAACAGAAAGAUCUGCUCUCAGGACAAAAGAUUAUGGCCAUUUUUAGACUCCAUGUUAAUAAAUCAACAGCACGAUACCAGAGGAUAAUGGAAUCAAACUUGGGCACAUUAUGGAAUUCCAUGCCAAUUACAAAACCCUUAGGGCUCAUGUCUUUUACACUAUUCACCCCUAAAUGAGUUUAAUCGCCUUUUGUUUUGUUUUUAAAGAUCUCUCACGAAUUGCCAUGGUAAGGCAUAAGGUAGGCCCUGGUUAAUAAUAAAUAUAUCACGAGCUGUUUGAAAAGCUAGAGAAUCAAGUGUUCUGAUGUUCCCAGGAAGGCAGAAUAAUGACACAGUCCAUCAAGGAAAAACAAAGGGCAUUAGGACACUUGGGGACAUCUUGGAGUCACUCAGCCAUGGUCUCCUCACCCAACCAGAACCUCCAGGGCUCAGUAACUGUGGAGACAGGAAGACCAGAUCCUUCUGUGAGCACCAGGACAAGGGCCCCAGAGUCCUGAGGAAAAUCAUGUGGAAGCCCAACUCCCUGCUUUGUAAGUCAUCCUCAGGCCCCCGGGCUACCCCUGGAGAACCUAUUCAGUGACUCUAAAGACCACAAGAUGUACCCCUGGAUUAAUUUCACCGUCGCUGCAAAUUUGAAGAUGACUGAAGAUUUUCUACUUCGGGGAUAUCAAGUCGUUUAUUUGCCCUGACCCCUUCCAGGAAGCCUUCCUGGACAGGGAAGCUAAUAACUUCUCCCUGGCUGGCCACCUGGUGGGGAAAGAGAAAAGGACAGACUUCGAGCAGACCCAGCUUCAAAUCCACACUCACAUGAAGGCAGAACUUUGGCUCUACUUCCUUGGGCGUUAAUUUCCUCAUCUGCAAAGUGGGACCAACAUCUACCUCAUGGCGUUUGAACAGGAUUAAAUGAAAUAUGUUUGCAAGCCUUCUAGCACAUGGAUGUCCUGCUGUGACGUUCAUGUGCCCCGUGCCUGAGGAAACCACACCACCCUUGGUUGAAAUGAAGGCUGCACGAGCUUAGCACGAGGACCAGCUGGUAUUCUUGGCAUACGUACCCAACUCGGGCUAAGUUUUUAGUCUUCCCCACCCGAAAAGGCUUAGGGGUAAAGUGGGGAUUGGGAAAUCAGCGGAAAACCCCUCAAUGUGAUUAGUUCUAUAAAUUUAUAGCAGACUCAAGAUGCCCUAAGGAGGUCCAAAAGGCCUAGAAUCAGUUCCAGGUACCAAAAAGAAAUUAAAUUCGCUUUGGGUGUAGGUUCCAAAGAUUUCCAAACAAAAUUAGACCUGCUAGGAUUUUUGCAUGACAGUUAACCAUGUGGACAAGGAUAUCGUCCUUGGAUGGUGGAGCAGCAAGAUAGACAGAGCCUGGCCAUGGCCAUCAUCUCACAGAACAAAGCGGCCAUAUACCAGCCUUGGACUGCCUGUCUCUGGACCAUUUCAUGAGAGAGAGAAAUAGAAUUCCUUCUUGUUUACAUUGUAGUGAAAUGGGCUCUCUCUGUUACAUGCAGCCAAAUCUAUAUCCCUGUUAAUACAUCUGUUAAAUGGAACAGAAAUCAGUAAAGGUAAGAGAGUCACUUUAGCCAAAGGCUAGAUCAUAACUCUGAAAUUUACUCUGAUGUAUUCUGAUUCUGAAAUUAUUCUAGGCUCUGAAAAAGAGUUCUUUACCUACUUAUUAUUGACUCAAUGAAUAUGCAGUAAAUAUUUGCUGAGUGUCCACUAUAUAUAUCAGGCACUGUGCUAGGCAAUACAGAAAUAAAUUUUGACAAGACAGUUGUGGUGCUAACAGAUUAGAGAGAGAAACAGACAAAACAUGCACAUUACAGUAUCAUAAAUGCUGAGAGAAAGGUUGCUAUUGGAGUAUACAAGCUGAGCCUAUAGGAUUCAGGAAUGCUUCCCAGAGAGAAUAAUCUUGAAAGUGAGUUCUGAAAGAUGUGAUGGAAUUAGAAAUAGCACAGGGAGGGGUUGGGGGUGAGGGGCAAGCAACCAGGCAGAAGGAACAGAAUAGGGGAAAGCCCAGGACUCAGAUUGAACAGACUCCUGGGCAUGGCCCACUAGCUCACCAAACAUACCGCUCUGACUCCAGGCAACCCUGUGAAUGAGUGACAUGCCCAAUGUCCUGUCCUCAACAGCCCUGCUCAGCUCCUGUAGCCUCAGGCCUAUCGCUUCUUCGAUGGAGUCAAUCCAUCUCAUAUUUGGUCUUCCCUUUUCCUACUGCCUUCUGUUUCCCCAGGAUUAUUGUCUUUUCCAAAGAACCCUACCUUCUUAUGUGUCUGAAGUAGGACAGCUUCAGUUUUGUCAGUUUAGCUCCAGGACCUACUAGUUCUUCUGUCUAGCGGUCCAGGGUAUCCAUAGAGCUCUCCUCCAACACCAUAUUUCAUAUGAAUCCAUUUUUUUCCUAUCAGCCUCUUCAUUGUCCAACUUUCACAUCCUUACAUAGUAAUUGGGAAUAGGCUGGUACUGUAUGUUUUUUCCCCAAAAAAGAAGUUAGUACUAUAUCUUCACUUUGUGAGUACUAAUUUGUCGUAAUAGUAUAAUAUACUAACUGGAUAUAUGUCCCUUGGACACAUGAAGUAUGCUUUUGUUUUGUUUUAUGUAAUCCCAUUAUCCCAUAACUAAUCCUCUGUGAAGGCUCAGAUAAAUAAAUGACUAUUUUAAUGACUUUAACAGAGCACAUCCUAUGUGUGAGGCACUGACCUGCACGGUACAUACUGUUCCUGGGUCCAAAGUAAGGGAGGCAAAGAAGGAAAUGAGCAAAGUAAGCAGGCAAGAGGGAAGAGCAUUAUUUCGGGCUUCUAUGGAACCAGCCAGACUCUAAAUUCCAAACCAGAUUGUGAGUGUUACAAUUGGUCCCACUUAGAAUGGCCAUCCUAGCACAUCCCAGCCCAAGCUCUUCAGCCAGCAUUGAGCUGAGCCUUUUCUCCAGUGUUUGCAUCCUCCCAUCCACACAGCUGGGCUUCUCUCUCCACUCCCACCUGCAGAGACGUCCCAACGUCCAAGACCAGGCAUAACCUUACACAGAAAGAAUGAGAAGACCUCAGCUCAGCACUCUGGGAUGUAGCGUCAACCGUUCCUACUGCUAGUCAGGCCCCGUGUUCCAGGUCUAACUCCUGGCUUGGAACUCUGCCCGGUCCCUCUAGGGUGGGGGCCCUGCUUCUUGCUUUCCAUUCCUUUCUUUCCUCCUUCCAGAGCUUGGAAAUCUGCCCAUGAACCUGAGCUCAGUGGCUGGAGCCUGCUGACUGCUGACCGACUUUCUUAUUCCCUUAUUUCUGAUUACAUUUCUCGGUGCCACCUGUCCUAGAUUGCCCAGUACCAGCACCUCCAAGCCUGAGACUUGUCUCCCACCUUCCAACACCAAUCCUACUUGCCUUGGUGACCGCCUGCCUCUGUUUCCGUAGACCUCUGCAUAUCACUUCUAAUGCCUUGUCUGCCACCUAGACUUCCUCGCAGCUCUUGCCCCGUCCCCAUGGGCAGAUCUAGCCAGUCUGCCUUGUCUUUUGCAGGGAACCAGGCCAUAUCUAACAGUGUCUUGAGCUAUGACAAUUGACAUUCAAUGCCCCGCAGAUUAGAGCCCCACCCACCAGGAACACUUUCUCACUAGGCUUGUGUACACUUGACUCCAGUCAAAAUAAUCUCACUGUUGUUUGCCAGCCAUGCCCACACCUACAGACCUCUCGGAUUUAUUCCUGUUAACCGCUCACCUGAAAAAGGCUUUAUCCCAUUCCAUCCCCCACUUACUGAGGAAUUCUUAAUAAAGAAUAAGCCCCCAAAUAUGACAAUCCAAAUCUCUUCCCAACCCUGACUGGAAAUUACAUCUCCUUCCUCUGAAGUCCUGUGGCUCGAUAUCUGGACUCCCAUUAUGGAUUUUAUUGCCUUUUUAUUUUAAAUGUCUUAUCUCUCUAAGUAUAUACUAGAGUAAGUAAACAUUUUGGAAAUAAAAUGCAUAUCUGAUUACUUAGCAAAGAAAACUAGGUAGGGAAGAGGGAAAGAGAGACUUGGCCCAAUUUCACAACAUGAGUAAUGGUCCAUCGAAGAUUAUAACUGAACAAGAUCAUCCUGUUAAGUGCCUGCUUAGCAUCCUUAAUCAAAUCAUUCCUGAAACAUGGCGUAAGGGCCCCUGUCCCAGUGGACUUAAGAAAAUUCACUGUGAGUCCCUUAGGUAAUAUAUAUAUUCCUUAUUGUCUUCCCUUUCUAUUUGGAGUUAUUUUUUUGCAUCUCUCCUUCCUCCCUCCCUUUCUGAAUGUGUCUGGAACCCCCAUCUCUCACCCCAAAGUUCUAUGACUCCCCAAACAGAACUGGAAUAAAUUGCCACCUCCUUGAAAUCCCUCCACUUCUUCCUUUAAGCAUCUACUGGGCCCAUAAAUUUGAUAAAAGGGGGCACAGCAGCUUUCUUCCCUGAGAGAAAACUCAAGGACCCAGGGAACAACCCAGCAAUGCCCUCCCCUGCCUAUCUUUGAACAAUUCAAUGGUAAUUGAAAAGACGCAGGUAGGAAAACCAGACUGACAAGUGGGUGUUUCUGUUUUUGAUUAAGGGGGGCAAAGUUCAUUCCUGCAUCCUGUAUAAUACACAGCUUCUUGUUCCCAGCAGUAUAUCUAGCCAUGGAGGGCCCACUGCCCUCUUACUUUGCCAAGUCUAUGUCAUGGUGUGAUGGGGGAGAGUUAAGCAGAUUGUAUACCCUUUUCCAGCUUUCCUCUUAGGAGCUCCAGAUGCUUUUUAAAAAAAUAUGACAACGAUCUCACCAAUCCCUGUACAGUAGCAAGAAACAUUGCCAACAAAAAUCAAAUAAUUAUAAUCCACCCACCAUAAUGUCUAUUCUACCUGCAUUAUUCUGCAAUAUUAGGCAUCUGAGUGGCAAUAUACAGUGCCAAGUCCAAGGCCGUGAGGUCUGAAGGCCCAAUGGUCAGGAGUCCUCUGAUGCUAGACAGACAUCAAAGUAUCAGGUUUUCUGAAGGAAGAAGCAUUUAAUUAUGAUCAAACAUGCUUCAAAGUGCUUUCAAGUGGUCAGUCGCUCCUCCCUGCUUCCCUGUCUGGGCAAUGAGCUCCAUUUCCCUGAUGAAGGAGUUGUGUUUCCUUUAGAAGCAUCAAAGAGGAUUCUCUCUGGCCCCACAGAUUUGAUGUUUCAAAAUCCCAUGUGUCCAUGUUGAGAUGAAAUGGUCAAACCCUGUCUUCCAGGUGCUUUGCCUUGAAUUGGAGACCCCAUGUCCUUUGGCAGGUACCUGGCAGGCCAUCAGGGGACAGUCCUCAAUUAGAACCCACAUCCUUUUCUGGCCCAGCAUGGGUUAAAUUAACUUUCAAGGUUUGGGACAAGAAUUAGUCUAUUGAUUAGCUUCAGAACUGGAUGGAUCCUCUAGGGCAGAGGGGGUGGAAGGAGAUGAUUCGGGUAUCAUUCAUUAGAGUAUCUGAUGUCCAGAAGCUAAACAUGGGGAGCACUUUAACAAUAAAAACAAACCCAGCUACAUAAGUCUGAGAAAACAUUAUUUCUCUUUCUACUGAAAAUAGAUUUUUAUAAUCUUGAGAGUGCACAUGGGCAUAAUCUUUUUAGAGCAAAAUUUGGCAGUAUUAAAAGCACGCAUUCACUUUGAACAAGUAAUGUCACUACUAGGAAUUUAUCCUAUGAAUAUACAUGGAAUAUUCAACAAAACAUAUGUACAAGAAUGGCCAACAAAGCAUUAUUAGUCAUGGUUUUAAAAAUACAUCAAAAUGUCCAUCAGUGCAGGGACGGGCUAAAUAAAAAUGGCACACCCAUAUAAUGGAUUACUACGGACUGGUUAAAAGAAUGAGAUGGAUUUGUGUGUGCCCAUAUGGAAAGAUUUUGAAAACACAUCAUUAAGGGGGAAAGGCCGGGUACAGAACAGUGUGUAGAGUAUAAUUCCUUCUAUGUUAAAAUGCACACAUAUUUGUGGGCAUGGGCACUUUAUGACAUUCAGGCAUAUGCACGAAAAAAUCUCGAGAAAUGGUUAGCAGUGGUCAACUUUCAGUCAAGGACUUGAAGCAGGUGGAGAAACAGCUUCAGGGUCACUUAACAGGGUGGCAUUUAGGAGAAAGCUCAGGGACCAGUUUAAGUUUCUUAUUUGUAUUCCCCAUUGUUAAAAACAUAAUAAAUAUUCUGUUAUCAUUUUAAAGGUUUUUCUAAGUUAGUAUCUUCAACCUCAAUUGGGUAUGUGGUCAGAGAGAGAACAAAAAAAAAGAUAUUCACAGAGAGAUCAGUAAUACCCUCAGCAGCUAAGCUAAAGAGGAAGUAUUCCAGUCCACAGAGGAAGAUGCUGGCCUCUGCAAAAAUGUUUACUGCGCGUGAGGGUGGAGGGGGAAGUGGAAAGAAGAAGAGUAAUAAUUGCCUCAUCUGGGUUUUUAAUCGAAUUUAAUUUUUUCUACUUACUUUACUUUGGAAAGGGGACUUUGAUAAGAGGAACUAGCCCUUGUGGGAGAAUGUGAGGGACCAAAAUGUUUUCCUAGCUCUGCAGAGAGUCAGAAGGAGCGCUCUUAUCCUUUCCUCACCCACUGGCCAAUCGAAAGGCCAAAAUAGAGGUGUUCAGAGGGAAUGUUGACAGAGCUGCUUAGCAAUGGGCCUGGAAGAAGGAGGAAUAUGAACCAGCCCCUGAGAACAGACCUUCAAGAGCUGCUGGUGACUCAGUUACUACCGAACAGCAGGACUCUUUUGUUUUCUUGAGCCUGGGAAAGAAAAGAAAGAAAAAAACCCUUUUGCUUUUGCAAACAGUCUUGAAUUGCAGUUUCAUUAAUCCAUUUCAAGGUCCAGGUUGGUGUGGCAUAGGCAACUGUUUACCCAGUGAAGCGAUAAGGCAAGGCUGAGCCUCCAAAGAAUCCACCAAGUCUCGCCUGUCACACAGCUUCCGUUUAUGAUCCACAUGGAGGCUUUCUAUUGGCCAAGAUCUACCUCAAUGGAUUUCAUAAUGGAGUAAAAUUUAUCUGAGUAAAAUACUAUCUGGCAUAGGCCUAGAUACAAAGCCUAUAGAAUAAGCAUGACUUUAACAUUGUUUUCUACCUGAUGGCGCUCCCAGGGCAGGCACAGAACUUUCCCCUCUUCUCACUCACCAUCCGAUUAUUCGUCACUAGGGCAGAAGAGGAUGGUAAACAACAUGAUAAGCCUUGUUGGAUAGUUUCUAAAUGUUGGAGCUUCUUCAAGGAAGUGGGCACUCCCUCAGGGGAGGUUACUUCAGCCAGUUACAGGGCGAAUGAGGCCAAGGUCAUAAGCUUAUUUACCCUGAGGGCCAUUAGCUUUGAUUUGUUUCAUGACCACAUCCUGCAUCCCUCAACCCAAACAGCUGUUUCAAAAAUGGAUGCCCUUGAUGACAAGAGGGACUGGUCCAAAGUAAAAUAGAUGUGUUAGUUCAAAUUCAACAUGCUCCAGGAAAAAUGAAUCAAAGCACAUCAAAAGUAUUAAAAUUACAUCACCUGGUAUUUGUUCCAAAGAGAUCAGGAAUAAUAACAUCAAGCAGACCUCAACAAUCUGCACCACUGCUAGGUUGGUCAUCAGACAAAAAUAGCUACAUAUUCACAGACAGCCAUUUCUUCUUAAGGAGGAGACUAUCACACUAACUCUGAAUCCAUUUUUCCAAUAAAAUACGUCUUCAAAGAAAAUUAUUUCAUUUAGCACAUAAAGAAUGUUCUACUU